rnacentral:lncRNA from 1 species
UUCCUGCAAUAAACAUUUCCUGCCAAAACAAAAAGAGUGAUUAGAUUGAUACUACAUAUAUUACAAUUGAGUUCUAAAUAUAUGUACUUACAGAAAGCAUUCCUUUGACGAUAGAUUUUGGUAAACGGUCCAAACCAUUUUCUUUAUCAUUACUCUCAUAACUCAACAGGACAUCUAACAUAUCCAUUUUCCGUUUGUAGGGUAUCGUCCCAUCAAGUUGAGCUUUUCCCUUCUCAGUCAACCUCUCCUCAAUUAACUUCUCAUAGAAAGCAUCCAACUGACCGAAGAUCUUGUUGAUUUUUCUCUUCAAGCCUUGUGGAUCAAAUGGUUUAACAAUUGGGAUGAGAUCAGAAAAAUUCGGGGUCCCAAUCACCUUUAUCAACUCCCAGAACCUCUCUUUCAUUUUUCUUCCUUCAGGCAUUGAGUUGUCGAAAAGGUCUUUGGAGCAGACGAAAUUACUCACUAGGUUGGCCAGUGCUGUAAAAGCAUAUUCUGCUAU